rnacentral:rRNA from 1 species
UACGUAGGCAGCAAGCGUUGUUCGGAGUUACUGGGCGUAAAGGGUGUGUAGGCGGUUAUUUAAGUUUGGAUGUGAAAUCUCCCGGCUCAACCGGGAGGGUGCGCCGAAUACUGAAUGACUUGGAGUGCGGGAGAGGAAAGUGGAAUUCCUGGUGUAGCGGUGAAAUGACGUAGAUAUCAGGAGGAACACCGGUGGUGUAGACGGCUUCUGGACCGUAACUGACGCUGAGACACGAAAGCGUGGGUAGCAAACAGG